AUACCUUUCUCGUUUUUUUUUUUGGCUAAGAUCAAGUGUGAUAUCUGUUCUUAUCAGUUUAAUAUCUGAUAUCUGAGCUAUGUGUCCACUUUGAUAUUAAAUUAAUUUUUUUGGGAGGAGUGUCUAUCAUAUUGGCUUGCCACUGGGGCCCUCACGUGUCAAAUCGAAAUGAAAUUUGUGUUCGGCUUUGACUCGAUUAAA
rnacentral:snRNA from 1 species